rnacentral:tRNA from 9 species
GGGGGCGUAGUUUAGUUGGUUAGAACAUAAGCCUGUCACGCUUAAGGUCGCGAGUUCGAGUCUCGUCGCUCCCG